UAAUAUAAAAUAAGUUAUGAUGACAUAAGCAAUGACAUAAGCGAUGAUGUAAGGGAAGUGUGUAGAGAAAGUUAAGAAUUCUAGAAUUUAGUAAGGUAUUUAUGAAGGUUAAUCUCAACCAUUGAUCAAGAGUUAUGGUGGCAAAAUCCUAGCCAUCCAUUAGCCUUAAGAAAUCCUAUAAAUACCCCCUAACCCCUUUCAUUUUCAAUCUAACCUAGAAAUUUCAUUCUCUUUUAUUCUAAGUCAUAAUAUCAAGUGUAGAGAAAUCUUUAAUUUAGAAAGGUCUAAAGAAGUCAAGUAUUUAAGAGAAAUCUUAUUCUUAAAUAGUGUUGUGCAUUGAUUCUGUUAUGCAUCUAGGAACUUCAAAUGUUAUGACAUAAGUUGUAUUGAAUACAUGCAUAUCAUGGAUUAUAUUAUGAAGAAGACAUUUCAGAAAAAAGAAUUUAUGAAAAAUAGGUUGUUGUACUACUUAGUGGCAAAGUUUCCAAGGAGGGCAAGCCCUCAAAACUAAGUGAAAAUAAAUCUUUUGGGGACGGCGAUACGUAACGCCCAAAAGAUCAACUAAUGAGGCCGAAGGGCAUAUUGUUUAAAGAGUAAAAGUGCCAACCUUGUAGUGCAACAUACCUAGGGCCCUAAUGAAGUUUUGUAGUUUUUAAGUUUCUUUUAAAAGCUUAAGAUGGUCGUCCAUAUGCAUCAUAAUUUAUACAUGCAUAAAAGUGUUAUCUUACUGAGCAUUAGCUCAUAAAGUCCUUACAUUGGAGGUAACGAUGAGUAGGGCAAGUUUGUGCUAAGUCUUAACCAAGACGAAGUGCAUAUGGGCAUAACAGACCUUGGGAUUUUAUGAUGGGCUCAGCUUUGUUUAAAUAAAAAUAUAAACAUCUUAACUUUAUGUAGUAAUCAAGUUUUGAAAUUAACUAUAGAAUCUCUGUAUGACUUUUACUUUAUGAAGAAAAUUUUUUUUUGUGUUAAACUUUUAGAAAUCGUAUUAAAAGUAACUAUGUUUUAAACAUUUUUUAAAAAUAUAUAUAAGUGGAGUGUUACAUGCAUAAGGACCAAGAAAUUUAACUCCUUAUCAGAAUUAAGAGGAUCUUCGUUAAUGGGCUUCUUCUUCUUAAUGGCUGACAACUUGGUUCUACAACAAAGGGGAAGGUCUUUUGAGACACUCCCCGAGGUAAAUAAGGAAGUUCUCUUAAAAAUGACUUCUCUAAACAAAGUUUAGGCAUCACUUCCAGAACAACCCCGGGAGGAUCCCCUAGUCAAGCCAACAUCUCUUUGGGUGGAGCUAGAAGCCCCCUUUUUGGAUACUUUGGAAAAAAUUUCCCCAGCGCUUAACAUAUCUUCCUCAUAGAGGCUAUCUAGUAAAGAUCACAAAAAGAAAAAGAGUUAGAACAUCGUCAAAAUGGCAUGAAAAACUAGCAAGGAGAGCAAAGAGCUAUGGCUAAAGACAGAAUGAAUAGCUUUGAUACAACUGGGGAGGACCUCUAGCAACAAAAGACAGACUCUAGACUAGAUAGAAGACAAUAUUUACAUUCUAAGAAUGACCUCUAAGAUGACCUGAGACAGUCCAUACAUCGUUAGCAACCAUCAUGUAGGUGGAAUACACAAACAACAUGAGAAUGGGAGGUUCUAACACCUUCCGUUUUAGGGUCCCUUUUGAUAUCGGUGGUCCAUAGGCACACUUUUCAUAUCUUCUCGUCAGCUAUAAGGUUCCCUACAAACCCAUGUCAACUCUCCCAUUUAGCUUCUACAAGUUUGGUGAUAGCUUUUGACUCUACAAAACUAAUGAUUUAUAUGAAAGUAAAGAGACAAAGCCACCGGAACAAAUAAUUAGGUUCACAAGAAGAAAGCAAAGAGGAAAAGAGCCAUAUGGGAUUGGGUAAAUACACUAGAAACCCCUCGACCCGAGGAUGAGAGCUACCCCUAAUCACUGGUUGCAAUGAACCAGUGGUUAUCCCAAAAGUGAUGAGAUGUGGUAGCCUUAAAAAUACUGACAUUCACAUUCCAAGACAUCAAAUAAGUCACGCGGCCAUCAUAGUCUCCCCUCUUUGAGAACAUUCUUGACAAUAAUAGCAUCAGGGGCUCCCAAUGAAAGUUCUUCCUCUAUAGUACAUAUAAAGAUAUCAACUCAAUGAAUGAAUGCUUGGACAAUUAUGCUGGAGCUACAUUGAAAGCAUAGCAUACUCUACUAAAAUACUCUUAGAGUAGUAAAGGGAGCCCUAAGAGAAUUGGUUCGACUCUAAUGGCAACUCAUUCAUCCUUUGGGUUAGCUCUAUCAUCACUAUCAUAAGACCAUCUUAUCUCCACACCUGGCACCAAGUUGCGAAAAUCUAUGAUUUUCUCUAAAUCAGCCUUGGUCAAACCCUCUCGAAGGCCAGUCAUACAUCUAACACGCCUAGGUAAUUUAAAAGCUUAGAAUCUCUCCAUCUUUCUAUUCAAACGUCCCUGAGGACCCUCUAUCCACGGAGGAUCGUUUUCUUGCCCAUGCCACUAGGGACGAUUCUAAGUAAAACUGGAUAAACCACUAAGAACCCUAUAAAACUUACAGCAGUAUCAUCAAAAGGGUUAUCGUUGAAAGUAGAAAAAUCCGAGGAAGAAUCACUCGUAUCUCCGCCCUUAAAAAAACCAAAGAGCCUCAUACUAGAACUAUCGAGCUCCUCAUCAACUAACGACAACUUUCUUUUCACUAUCUAGACAACAAUCACCGGUAACAACAACCCGUUACCUAUAAAAAAAAAAAAAAAAACCCUAAGAAUACAUAGGUAGCACCAUUAGAACACUAAAUCCACCAAUUACAUCAAUUAAACAAACCUUCACAACCAACAACCCAUAUAGCCAACCUAAUACAGCAUAAACCCCACCAACCAACACUGAAAUUGUACCACGUACCACCCAAACAACACAAGACACCAACAACAAUAAAAUAGCCCAAAACUACCAACUAAAAACCAUAAUAAAACUAAAAUUGAGCAUAAAAGGGAGAAAAAUUAUCUAAAAAUUAAACAAGUGAAACUGCUAUCGCCAAUUUAAGCCGUAUUAACCUAGAAUCUCGCCACUAGAACCACUGCUAAAGAAAGCCAAAGAAGAGGUGCAAAUAAAGCCAAAACCAAAGAAGAAUGAAAUUGCAAUAAGGGAAAAAGAGAAAGAGAUCGUGAAGGGAAUAAGAGAGAGAUCGUGAGGAGGAGGAAUAGAAAAAGAAACCAAAUUAGAGAAGAUGGUGGAGAAAAAAAAUUGAAUUAGGAGAAGAGAAGAAAGAGAGAGAAGUCGAGACAAGAGCAAAUAAAGGAAAGAGGAAAAUUAAAGCAAGACGAAGAGUGAAAAGGGUCGAGAGAGAUAGGGAAACUGAGAACCAAAGGGGGAGAGAGAGAAAAGCAGCGAAAUGAAGAAGACGAAGUCGAAGAGAAAAAGAAAGGGGAAAUUGGUUUUUUAAAAUUGAGGUUAGGGCACGUGAAAGAAAAAAAAAAAGAGAAAAGAAAUUAAAUUCUAGUAAAACAUGCCCAAAGAGUGCAUGGCUAAAGCACCCCUAUGUUUCCCACUUGCAAUGAGUGGAAGAAAAAAAAUUCAAAUGAACCCCCGCGAGGAAAAUUUGAGAUAAGCCUAAAAAAAAUUAUUAUUUCGUGGCUAAUAAGGGGAUGGGGGUCUUGCCAAAUGUAUCGAGGACAGACCUAAUCAAAUUGUCCCCAUUUAAAAGACCCCCACGUGCCAUGCCAUCUUGAAUGAAAAUCUUAGUCUCUUUCACCUCAAUCUAUGCUAAAAGAGACUAGAGGAUCUUACUGGUGGUAAAAUAUAGGCAAAAGGUAUUAAGGGCAUGACACAUAGGCAAUAUGAUUUGGCACUGUGAUAAGGAAUGAAGUGGAAGUUGAGAAAGAGGAUAAAAAGAGAAGAUAUUAAAGAAUCAGGCUCAAUUACCUAAAUUACCCAAGAGUAACAAAAAAUUACCCCCUACAAAAUAUCCAAAUUGCCACAUGUUUGUACGAGACCGUGGAAUAAUAACAACCAUGCCAAUGCAACCAGGCCACAUUGUUUCCCACCUGAAUUGUCUCCAAAAUAUUUCCUUAUGUGCUGCCAAAUUUAAGAUUUAGAAAGGGAGACCAUGGGCAAAGCCACAUGUACCAUCCCUAGUGAAGUCAAGUGCUCUUCAACCCAAUUCAUUAAUUUAAAAUAGGCCAAUUAGAGUUAAGAGCGCACUAUCAGCACAGACUGUCCUUAAAUGGACAGUUGUCCAGCCCAAGCAAGUUCAGAGGCCUCCACAAAAGGAGCCAAAUUACUCUUAAAACCUACUUGAUGAGGGGAAUCACCCAUAACGGCUUGCUAUGUUUCCAAAAUGACAAAAAGAUGCCCUUAGAGGUAUUCUACCUUAAAAGGUCAGGUUGGUUUCACUAAGAAAAUAAAUUCAUUCUUUCACUAGAAACACUCAACUCUUUCCCUAUUCUAGAGUUUCUUGCAAACUCAUUACCUUUCUCUAACUUCCUAUUGACUUAACCAUUGAGUGUCGUCACCGGCCACUACCAACGCUGCUUCUAACAGCUAUUCCUUGUGAUUUUAGGUUUGUCUCAACCACCAUCGUCCCCAAAAAAUCGUCUCUAAACAGUAUAGUGCCUAUUUUCACUAGAAAUCACCUUCUGCAGAAAAGCUCUCAUAAUGUUUUGGGUUGAACUAGAAUAAAGCCAAAACAUGUAUGCAAAUGGGUGUUAAAAACAAUAUAUAAUCUGUGAUCAAUUAUAAAAUGAUCUUUAAUACUAUAUAAAAGAACGAGUAUCUUAAUAUGCGACAUUAAAUUUUUCAAGGAGAUCAAUAAUUUUUUUUGUUACAAACAAUCUCAUCCAUUAACUAAUUGAUGCAAUUUACGAUAUAAACUUAAAUAUAAGAACUUAGUUGUGUCAUUCAUUAGUCUUACACCAUAAAUAAAUUUUAUGAUUGCAACUUAUUUAUUUAUUUUGUGUUAGAUAAUCUACUACGUAUUAUAUCUUAUACUUAACAGUAAUAGAUAUUAAAACAUUUAUGUUAAAAAAAUCACAUUACAAAUUAAAGGAAGGUUGAAAAGUGAUUUUUAAAUAAAAUAUGUUGUUCAAGUGAAAUUGUUUCAAACUCUAAGGAUGAUCAUAGUUAUUUUACAAAAAUUCUCUAGCUCUAAAAUGGUCAACAAACUAAUUACAGUAAUUUUUAAAUUAUUUAUCUUUUUCUUUAAUAUAAAUAUUGUGUACUAUUAAUUAAAUUUAAUGACACACAAUUGAAACAUUAUUGAUGCCACAAAAAAAUUAUGACAUCAUUGAGGGACCCCUCUUUCAAUACAUCAACAUGUCAAUUUUUUCUUUUUUUUUUGGUGACUCCUUGUUUAUCCAAUAUUCUUUUGAAAUAAUGUUUGAUUCUUUUCUUUUCCUCAUGGAUUUAUUAUUCUCAUUCUUAAAGACUAAUUUUAAUGUAAAGUUUAGAUAUGUUUAUUUAAAAUUAGAAUUAUCAACCGGAUUACUUAUUUUGUGUAGAGGGUAGAGAAUUAAGAUUCCAUUUUGCUUUGGAAUUGAGAAAAUUAGGAAAAAAAAAAAAAAAAAAGAGCCAGCGCAUAUGGGGUUUAAGAAGAAAAGGAUUUUUUUUUUUUUUAAUUAAAUCAAGUAUGAUUGAAAAUCGAGUUUCAUAAUGAUUUUUGAGAGGUGUUAGAAGCUCCCCCUGCUGCAACCAUGGGCCUUAAUUUUUUGUUGAAACUAUGGGCUUCAAUGUCAAGAUGCGCGUAAGAUUGGAGAUGAAGGAACUAAUACGUUACUCUAUUUGUAAUCUCUUUUUUGGAACAUUGGACAUCCGUACCCAUUAUUUGUUUCUGCUUCCUUGUUGAAAGAUUGGACGCAAAGCCUUAAGACUCUCAAACAUUUGGUUGAUAAAAAAUGGGGAAAAACCGCGGGGUAGAAUUGGGAAGUGGGAAGAGAAUAUAUAUAGAUAAAUGGAUAGGCAAAAGGGUAUCUAAACUUCAAGAUUUGGGAAAAUGGUCACAUAAAAUCGGAGUUCGACAAUAAUUUCGUCUAAGAAGAAGAUUGUUGAGUUGUUAAUUUUUUUAGUUGAAUACUAGAAAUUAUAGGCCCAACCCUCCAACAAAUCAUGAUCAAUGCUCAAUCAUCCAAUUAACCAUUAGAGUUUAGACUAUCCAAAAUGUGUGUUUCAUGAUGACUUUUCAAAAAUAUGUGAUAAUUGAAUUUAAGUGGGUUUGAAUGAACAUUUACCCAUAUUAAGCUAGUUCCCUUCAUUUAUAGGAUUUAAGACUUGUCAAUUAUUGACGUAUAUGAUAGCAAAUGGGACCCGAGUAGGGACCUACUUGAUAACGUAAUAAAAAAUGGGCUAGGGACUUAUUUGAUUAAAAUGGACAAACCGCAUCCUUACCCAAAAACAUAAGACUACAAGACUUGAUAACGUAAUAAAAAAUGGGCUAGGGACUUAUUUGAUUAAAAUGGACAAACCGUAUCCUUACCCAAAAACAUAAGACUACAAGAAUCCGGAUAUCAUUACCCCAAUUUUCUUUUUUUCUCUAAGUAUCAACAACAAUCAAAGUUUGAAACAUAUUUGUUUAAACUCGUCUCUAUUCGAACUUGCCGAACUUCAGUAUCUUUAAGGUUUCUCUUUCAACACGGUUGUUCUCAACCGUGAAUGUUGUCUCUAGCAAAUAAUGGCUUAGAAUAAAAGUUUUGUACAAUAUAUUUUUUCUUUGUUUUACGUUUAUGUAUUAAUACUUUUUUUUUUUGAAAAUCUAUUUUUUUAUCCUUACUUUUUUAAAAAAAUAAACACUGAAAAAGAAUGACUACAGUCAAAACAAUUAUUGAUCUUAGCGUUCACACUCGCUUUAUAUUAUUCUUUACACUCACUUUAUAUUAUUCUUUUAAAUGAUUAUAGUUUAAUAGUCAGAGUUUUCGUCGUUACUGUUCGUACGCGUUCUCAUUGUAUAGUUUCGUUAUUAUUGAAAAUUAAACACCCAAACAAAAGUACCAAUGAAAACAUAUGAGAAAGGAUAUGAGAAAACAAAAAUUAUAAUUGCAAGAA
rnacentral:lncRNA from 1 species